CGCGUAGGCGGCUUUAUAAGUCUGGAGUGAAAGUCCUCUUUUCAAGGGAGGAAUUGCUUUGGAAACCAUAGAGCUUGAGUGCAGGAGAGGUUAUCGGAAUUCCCGGUGUAGCGGUGAAAUGCGUAGAUAUCGGGAGGAACAUCGGUGGCGAAGGCGGGUAACUGGACUGCAACUGACGCUGAGGCGCGAAAGUGUGGGGAAGCAAACA
rnacentral:rRNA from 1 species